UGACAAGAAGGAGUUACUUGAUACCUGUGGUCGUCUCAUUUUGGAGAGUAUUAAAAAUGGUGAUUGCCUUAAAAACCCGUCCCUCCUGACGUCAUUCCUGUUACUCACAUAUGCCGACUUAAGGAAAUAUUGUUUCAAUUAUUGGUUUGGAUUCCCUGCCCUCUCCCCCUCCAGUACAUUCACUUAUAGAUCUAUUAGUCGUUUGGAUACUCUUUUUAAAGACUCCGACCUCCAGCACUUGGUUUCUCGUUAUGACGACUUUCAAUUGGAACACAAAAGUGUUGGGUCCUUUCUAGUCAAUUAAGAAGGUUCCAAAUUAACUCCAAAACUUUUGACGGGGUUUGAAAAGGUUUUUAAAGAAGGCAACAAUAGAUUUACAAUUGGUUUCUGUGACUUUAGUACUCUUGAUUCUAAUCCAGGCUGGCCAAUGAGGAAUUUCUCGUACUUCAUUUCACAUUACUUAAUUGGGAUAACGUUUUAAAGGAAGUGGACAUUCUCUCUUACCAUGACACACGAGAAACAGGAAGCAUUUGAUUGGUAAUCUCUCUCCCCCCUCUCUCUCUCUCUCUCCUUGUAGAAGACUUAUAUUGUUGGUUCUACUAAUGAUGGUCGCUGUUGUUGUAUGCUAAAGAUUGACAGGACACAUUCAGGAGCUGCUGGACUAGUGGUUGAAGAAGAUGAGAAAGAAUAUCAACAAAAUGAGGUUCAAGAGACCCUUACAAUGUUAGAGAGUGCCAAUCAGAACUUCACCACUUGUUAUAAAGGAGGACUACAGCAAGUGGCAUCAGCUUUUGGGAUUGUUGGUUUUAUCAGAUUCCUUGAAGGCUAUUACAUUAUUCUCAUCACCAAACAAAAACCGUGAGUUAUUAUCAUCACCAUGGCAAUAGGCUCCACCCCUCCUCCCCCACGGUGUUGCUAAUAUUGGUGGUCAUAUAUUGUAUAAGAUUGAAGACACUGCCAUGCACUGUCUGUCAGCUCCUACUGGUAGACCAGCUCAUCCUGAUGAAUCAAAAUACGUUAAAAUACAUGUUGAUCUAUCGUCUAAUUUUUAUUUCAGUUAUUCUUAUGAUGUAACUCAUUCCCUUCAGUUCCAAAUGAGGACUUCAGAGGGUCCUAUGCCUCCGUCCUGUCUUAGGUUCAUAUGGAAUGAGCACUUACUGGAGAACCUUGAGGGCUUCGUACACUCAAGAUGGAUACUCCAUAUACAUGUAAUAUGUGGAUUCUUGUCAC